rnacentral:vault_RNA from 1 species
GGGCUGGCUUUAGCUCAGCGGUUCCUUCGCCUGACAAGCAAUUUAAUUACCCUCUCGGGGGUGGUUCGAGACCCGCGGGCGCUCUCCAGUCCUUUU